UGUAUUUUCUUUUAUUCAGGCCGAAAAAAAAAACUGGGCUUUGUCUUCACCACCUAGAUCCUUUUUCGUACAUAAACCCCUUGGAGUUUAGGUUUUUAUCUCUCUUUUAAGCCAUUUUCUUUUCUGGGUUUUUGGGUUUUUCUUUGUAUCUUUUCUGGGUGUUUAGUUGCAUGUAGGAUUAAGGUUUUUGUUAUUGACUUUUUUUUUUACUUUUUUAAAAUAGUUUUUCAAGUUUUAAGAAACGUAUGCAUUUGUUCAAGCAAUCAACAUUUUUUGGUGACUUUGGAGUAUUGGGUUUGCUUCAAAUGGAGUUUAAGGAUUGACUUUUAAAGAUCAAGGUUUUUUAAGAUUAAUUUUCUUAGGAGGUUUUUUGUUGGAGGGGGUUUAUGAUGGGGGCCCUGAUAAGCCCAACAUAAAGGCCAUUGAUGCGUCGGUGGGUAGCUUGGUUUGGGUCCGACGCAGAACGGUUCAUGGUGGCCGGGUCGGAUUAUGGGCCUUGAUGAGCAUUUUGAGGGUUGUUUGGUUUCUCCAAGAUCCGGUACUCUGUUAAGCUUCUUGGUCGUGAAGAUGCAAGCGUUUUUCUUUUAUUCCUAGGAGAGAUGAUUCAUUACUGCGGCAAAAAGAAGGAAAAGAAGAAUAGAUCCCCUGUAAAGUUGUUGUUAGAGUCCUAUCAAGUCUCGCCUUUAUCCCCAUCAUCCAUAUUUUCCUCUUCAGAAAAUCGGGGCUAUGAUAAAUGGAGCUGCAGAUUACAGCUUUCAGUGUGCUGGAAACCUUGAAGUUCUUCGUGAGGCAUUUUGUUUACCAAUACGCGAUGGGGACUGAGUGUACUAUUGGGGAUUCAUCCAAGCCCGCUGUUGCUACCUCUCCAUUGAGUUAUUUAAGAGGUGUCAAAUCUUAUGAUCGAUUUUUGGAGGCUUCAAAGGCAAAACGCAACUACCAAAGUUUGCCAAACAAUGCACGUGUGGGCUAUUGAAACUCUUGAUUUGAUGCUUAUUGGAAUAAGCAUAAGAAGAUUAGUAUAAGCUAAAAAAAAUGGAGCAUCCAAACUCAAAGCAAUACUACUUGAGCUAGCUAGAUUAUUUUAGUUGUAGGCACCAGAUGGGCAGUCUUGAUUGCUGGAUCUAAUAGCUAUUGGAAUUACAGGCAUCAGACUGAUGUUUGUCAUGCUUAUCAACUCCUAAGAAGAGGUGGUCUGGAAAAUAUCAUUGUCUUCAUGUACGAUGAUAUCACUUUCAAUGAAGAAAACCCCAGGCCUGGUUUAUGCAAGGCCCAGGCUGUAACUGAAAGUCUUUAUAAAUUAGGGUUUCGUUUUGAGUUUCCCUUUUAAGAUGAUUCCAUGGGGUGGCCUUACUUGCUGUUUGAAUGCAGCCGCUCUCUAUCUUCUCGGAAGGAGCAGUCGCGGGUUAGUUUCCAUCAACUAUAUUAUCAAUAAAGCUAAUUUCAUCAUUAUUUGCCAAAUUCAUUUGACUGAAAAUUUCAAAAAGUGUUAAUUGAGUUCUGUACUUAAUAAUGGUGGAACAAGGCUGCGGAGCUUCCCAAGACAGUCACUCAAGUCAAUCAACUUAAAGAAUUGGGUGCUGGAGGUCUUAGUUUUUUCAAUUCUGCAACCUGAAAAGCUUUUGUACAAAGUUUAUAUUAGGCUGGCUUAUCUGGGCUUAAUAGUGAGUUUUUGCUUCAUACUUCCAGUAUUUUAGAAGUGCUCCAAAGCAGAGGACAUCCUAAUUCCCAAAAGCUGUUUGGAUGGCAAAAGAAUUUUAUCUGGAUUAGUUUUACAUGGCCCAUUAGAAACUUGAAACAUCUCAUGCUAUGAAUGAAGGCUUUAUAUUCUGGUUUGCUUUACAUUCCUAUUUCCAUUUUCUAUUGGUAAAAAUGUUUAUUUUUUUCAUCAAAGUCUUAGAUAAUUAGGGUGAUGAUGUCAAGUAUUAGCAAGUUUAAGUUGAAUUUCUAUUUUUUAUUUUAAAUAAUUUUUGUGUCUUCCAAAACUGAUGCUGCAUUGCCUUACAGCCACUCUUUAUUUUCUUGGAAAGAUUACUCGCAGGUUAGUUUUCAUUAACUAUAAUCUGGAUGGAGAUCUCUAAGGAAAAUGGCAUUAAUCUCCUGAACAAAAAUUUUUUUACAAGCACCAUGUCAAUGAAACUAUUAAAAGUUUUGACAAGCACCAAGUCUAUGAGACCUUUAAUUGAAUCCUUCCAUACUUUUUAAGUAUUUCUCUCUCUUAUUUGAUAGCUGCAUAAAAAAAAUGAAUUUUUAUAUUCGAGUGUAAAGUGGAAUGCAAUAAUUCACUAUUACACCCACAUCACUUCUUUCUUUAAAAUUGUGAAACUUGGUAUGUGUCACUGAUUUUGGCUUCAUAAAUUUUACUUUGUUGCCACUUCUUAGUGAUUUUGUUUGAUUGGUAAUAAACGAAUCUCCAGAUUUUUAUUAACAUGACCUCUUAAUCCAUUGUGCUCACAAUUGAUUGGUGUUUCAGAACCAAGUCUUCCAAAAAUUGCUUUGAUGAUUUCAUUUCUGUUGCUGAGUAUCUUAUUUCCAGACCUGUUGUCUAUGAUAGAGCACACAAAGGUUUCUGUGGAUCGAAUUUCUGGAUUCUUGCAGGAGGAAGAAUUGCAGGAAGAUGCCACCAUUGUUCUACCCCAAGGCAUGUCAAAGGUGGCUGUAGAGAUUAAGGAUGGUGAGUUUUGUUGAGACCCUUCUUCUUCAAGGCCCAUCGUAUCUGGAAUACAAAUGAAAGUAGAAAGAGGGAUGCAUGUGGCAGUUUGUGGGCUUGCAGUAUUGGGAAACCUAUGUAUGUUAUGGGAGCUGAGCUUUGUAAAUGGAAAUCAUCAAACUUCCAUAAAUCUUUGAGGGAACGAGGAUUGGUUUGGCCAUUUACAGUUUCUGAAGAUAUUGCAGAAAGCUAGAGCUAUCCUCUCCUUAAUAACAUAGCAGAAGCAUUAUGUAAGAUUCUAUUAGUUAUUGUAUUGUAUUGUUUUGUCUGCUGAUUUACUCUUAUUUAAACUAAAUAUGCAUAAUAUAUUUGGAAUGUGAAAGUGGCUUUAUAGAAUUAUUUAUGACAUUUUGCUAUCAAUAAAAAGCU